rnacentral:rRNA from 1 species
AGAUUGAACGCUGGCGGCAUGCCUUACACAUGCAAGUCGAACGGCAGCACGGGAGCAAUCCUGGUGGCGAGUGGCGAACGGGUGAGUAAUACAUCGGAACGUGCCCAAUCGUGGGGGAUAACGCAGCGAAAGCUGUGCUAAUACCGCAUAAGAUCUACGGAUGAAAGCAGGGGAUCGCAAGACCUUGCGCGAAUGGAGCGGCCGAUGGCAGAUUAGGUAGUUGGUGAGGUAAAGGCUCACCAAGCCUUCGAUCUGUAGCUGGUCUGAGAGGACGACCAGCCACACUGGGACUGAGACACGGCCAGACUCCUACGGGAGCAGCAGGU